rnacentral:rRNA from 1 species
UACGAAGGGGGCUAGCGUUGCUCGGAAUCACUGGGCGUAAAGGGUGCGUAGGCGGGUCUUUUAAGUCAGGGGUGAAAUCCUGGAGCUCAACUCCAGAACUGCCUUUGAUACUGAAGAUCUUGAGUUCGGGAGAGGUGAGUGGAACUGCGAGUGUAGAGGUGAAAUUCGUAGAUAUUCGCAAGAACACCAGUGGCGAAGGCGGCUCACUGGCCCGAUACUGACGCUGAGACGCGAAAGCGUGGGGAGCGAACAGG